UACGUAGGGUCCGAGCGUUGUCCGGAAUUACUGGGCGUAAAGAGCUCGUAGGUGGUUUGUCGCGUUGUUCGUGAAAACUCACAGCUCAACUGUGGGCGUGCGGGCGAUACGGGCAGACUGGAGUACUGCAGGGGAGACUGGAAUUCCUGGUGUAGCGGUGAAAUGCGCAGAUAUCAGGAGGAACACCGGUGGCGAAGGCGGGACUCUGGGCCGAUACUGACGCUGAGGAGCGAAAGCGUGGGGAGCGAACAGG
rnacentral:rRNA from 1 species